CCCGGCGUAGCUCAGCUGGACAGAGCACCCGUUUGCUAAACGGGAGGUCACGGGUCCGAACCCCGUCGCCGGGGCCA
rnacentral:tRNA from 1 species